UAAUACAGAGGAUGCAAGUGUUAUUCGGAUUGAUUGGGCGUAAAGCGUCUGUAGGCGGUUUAGAAAGUCUCUUGUGAAAUUCUUCAGCUCAACUGAGGGUCCGCAAAAGAAACUUCUAGGCUUGAGGGAAGUAGAGGUAUAGGGAAUUUCCGGUGGAGCGGUGAAAUGCGUAGAUAUCGGAAGGAACACCAAUAUGGCGAAGGCACUGUACUGGGCUUUUCCUGACGCUAAGAGACGAAAGCUAAAGGAGUGAUUAGGAUUAGAUACCCUAGUAAUUUUAGCCGUAAACGAUGGAAACUCACUGCCGAGCCGGUAUUCGGGGCGGUGGUCAAGCUAACGCGUGAAGUUUCCCGCCUGGGGAUUACGCAUGCAAAUGUGAAACUCAAAGGAAUUGACGGGGACCCGCACAAGCGGUGGAGUAUGUGGUUUAAUUCGAUGCAACGCGAAAAACCUUACCAAGGUUUGAAAUCAUUUCAAAACUCUUUGAAAGAAGAGCCUCCUUCGGGAUGAAAUGACAGGUGGUGCAUGGCUGUCGUCAGCUCGUGUUGUGAAAUGUCAAGUUAAGUCUUGUAACGAGCGCAACCCAUGUCUUUUGUUGCUGUUUUCAGUGCUUAAAAGAGACUGCCGCUCUACAGCGGAGGAAGGUGUGGAUGAUGUCAAGUCAGCAUGCCCCUUAUAUCUUGGGCUACACACGUACUACAAUGGUAGGGACAAUGAGUCGCAAACCUGCGAAGGCUAGCCAAUCUCAAAAACCCUAUCUCAGUUCGGAUUGUACUCUGCAACUCGAGUGCAUGAAGGUGGAAUCGCUAGUAAUCGCUGGUCAGCAUACAGCGGUGAAUACGUUCCCGGGUCUUGUACACACUGCCCGUCACACCAUGGAAGUCGACUCUUCCCUAAGUCGUUACUCGAACCGUAAGGACGAGGAUGCCGAAGGCAGGGUUGGUGACUGGGGUGAAGUCGUAACAAGGUAACCG
rnacentral:rRNA from 1 species